UACGGAGGGUGCAAGCGUUAUCCGGAUUCACUGGGUUUAAAGGGUGCGUAGGUGGGCAGGUAAGUCAGUGGUGAAAUCUCCGGGCUUAACUCGGAAACUGCCAUUGAUACUAUCUGUCUUGAAUACCGUGGAGGUUAGCGGAAUAUGUCAUGUAGCGGUGAAAUGCUUAGAUAUGACAUAGAACACCAAUUGCGAAGGCAGCUGGCUACACGAAUAUUGACACUGAUGCACGAAAGCGUGGGGAUCAAACAGG
rnacentral:rRNA from 1 species